rnacentral:rRNA from 1 species
GACAGAGGGUGCAAACGUUGCUCGGAAUCACUGGGCGUAAAGGGCGUGUAGGCGGGAAGGAAAGUCAGACGCGAAAUCCCUCGGCUUAACCGGGGAACUGCGUCUGAUACUGGAUGGCUUGAGUUUGGGAGAGGGAUGCGGAAUUCCAGGUGUAGCGGUGAAAUGCGUAGAUAUCUGGAGGAACACCGGUGGCGAAGGCGGCAUCCUGGACCAACACUGACGCUGAGUGAGCGAAAGCCAGGGGAGCAAACGGG